rnacentral:tRNA from 1 species
GGUGAAAUGGCUGAUGAUAGGCGAUAAAUUGUAAAUUUAUUUAUGGGAAAUUCUCUUUUACCA